rnacentral:rRNA from 1 species
UUCCGGUUGAUCCUGCCGGAGGCCAUUGCUAUCGGAAUCCGAUUUAGCCAUGCGAGUCGUACGUCUUUGACGUGGCGAACUGCUCAGUAACACGUGGCCAAACUACCCUGUGGACACGGAUAACCUCGGGAAACUGAGACUAAUACGUGAUAGUGCUCCCGCGCUGGAAGGCGGGGAGCACGAAAUGCUCCGGCGCCACAGGAUGUGGCUGCGGCCGAUUAGGUAGACGGUGGGGUAACGGCCCACCGUGCCGAUAAUCGGUACGGGUCAUGAGAGUGAGAGCCCGGAGACGGACUCUGAGACACGAGUCCGGGCCCUACGGGGCGCAGCAGGCGCGAAACCUUUACACUGCACGCCAGUGCGAUAAGGGGAUUCCGAGUGCGAGGGCAUACAGUCCUCGCUUUUCUGUACCGUAGGAUGGUACAGGAAUAAGAGCUGGGCAAGACCGGUGCCAGCCGCCGCGGUAAUACCGGCAGCUCAAGUGAUGGCCGAUAUUAUUGGGCCUAAAGCGUCCGUAGCCGGCCGGACGGGUCCAUUGGGAAAUCCACCCGCUCAACGGGUGGGCGUCCAGUGGAAACUGUUCGGCUUGGGACUGGAAGACCAGAGGGGUGCGUCCGGGGUAGGAGUGAAAUCCCGUAAUCCUGGACGGACCACCGGUGGCGAAAGCGCCUCUGGAGAACAGAUCCGACGGUCAGGGACGAAAGCUGGGGUCUCGAACCGGAUUAGAUACCCGGGUAGUCCCAGCUGUAAACGAUGAUCGCUAGGUGUGGCGCAGGCUACGAGCCUGCGCUGUGCCGUAGGGAAGCCGUGAAGCGAUCCGCCUGGGAAGUACGUCCGCAAGGAUGAAACUUAAAGGAAUUGGCGGGGGAGCACUACAACCGGAGGAGCCUGCGGUUUAAUUGGA